UGUGGCAGAAUAGUGCGGUGGACUUAAACCCCAUAAAUAAAGUAUGACUUUUUUUAGAA
rnacentral:tRNA from 1 species